CGCGGGCGGGGCGCGUGGGGGCCGCGGGGCUGGAGCAGCGCGGGGGCGCGCGCCGGCCUGACGGACGGACGAACGGACUGGCGGGCGGACCAAGCCACCCGAGCGAGCGCGCAGCUCGGACCCUCCCGGACGCAGCUCUCGCCAGUGGCCGCGCGAUCACCGGUCCGCGGCCACGGCGCCAGCCCGCGCCCGCGCCCCAUGGGGUCACAGAGUCUAUAGAAGACACAGCAGCAAGACUCCCAGAUGAACAACCGAAAGGAAGAUAUGGAAAUCACUUCUCACUACCGGCAUCUGCUUCGAGAGCUCAAUGAGCAGAGGCAGCACGGAGUCCUCUGUGAUGCGUGCGUCGUGGUGGAGGGCAAGGUCUUCAAGGCACAUAAGAACGUCUUGCUUGGGAGCAGCCGCUACUUUAAGACGCUCUACUGCCAGGUACAGAAGACAUCUGACCAGGCCACCGUCACUCACUUGGACAUUGUUACAGCCCAGGGCUUCAAGGCCAUUAUUGACUUCAUGUACUCCGCCCAUCUGGCUCUCACUAGUAGGAAUGUCAUCGAGGUGAUGUCAGCUGCCAGCUUCCUACAGAUGACUGACAUUGUGCAGGCCUGCCAUGAUUUCAUCAAGGCUGCACUGGACAUCAGCAUAAAGUCAGAUGCCUCCGAUGAACUCUCAGAAUUUGAGAUUGGCACCCCAGCCAGCAACAGUACAGAGGCGUUGAUCUCAGCUGUGAUGGCUGGAAGGAGUAUCUCCCCAUGGUUGGCUCGGAGAACAAGUCCUGCCAAUUCUUCUGGAGACUCUGCCAUUGCCAGCUGUCAUGAAGGAGGAAGCAGCUAUGGGAAGGAGGACCAGGAACCCAAAGCUGAUGGCCCUGAUGACGUUUCUUCACAGUCUUUGUGGCCUGGAGAUGUAGGCUAUGGGUCUCUGCGCAUCAAGGAAGAACAGAUUUCACCAUCACAUUAUGGAGGGAGUGAGCUUCCAUCUUCCAAGGACACUGCAAUACAGAAUUCUUUAUCAGAACAGGGUUCUGGGGAUGGCUGGCAGCCCACAGGCCGGAGGAAGAAUCGGAAAAACAAAGAGACUGUCCGACACAUCACCCAGCAGGUGGAGGAGGACAGCCAGGCUGGCUCUCCAGUACCUUCAUUCCUACCCACAUCGGGAUGGCCUUUCAGCAGCCGAGACUCAAAUGUAGACCUGACGGUCACUGAGGCCAGCAGCUUGGACAGCCGAGGCGAGAGAGCAGAGCUCUAUGCUCACAUCGAUGAGGGCCUACUAGGAGGAGAAACCAGCUACUUGGGCCCACCCCUCACCCCAGAGAAGGAAGAAGCACUACACCAGGCUACUGCAGUGGCCAAUCUUCGUGCUGCACUCAUGAGUAAGAACAGUCUGCUGUCACUCAAGGCUGACGUGCUCGGUGAUGAUGGCUCACUUCUGUUCGAGUACCUGCCCAAAGGUGCCCACUCACUGUCUCGUGGCCAGUGGCUGGUUGUCUUUGUAGAGUCUGGACAGUGACCAGGCUGACACCUCUUGUGACCUGGACGAUAGGCUGGGCCAUUGUUGCUGGACUUGGCUCCAGCUGGUUCUCUCCAGCCAGGAUGCUGGGAACAAGCAUCUAGCACCCCUUUGGCCAGUAUCUCUCUCAUAGACCUGGAUGCCUUUGCCCAGCAUGGGGUAGCUGUGCUAGGCAACCUUAGGUACAAACCGCUCUAUUCUGAAGUCAUCCAAGGAGCCUACAACGAAGAUGUUCCAUUGGAACAGAAAGACUCAUUGUGACUUGCCUUGAUAUGGGGCAGGAGAGAUCUCCUCAGGCACCUUUUGUCAACUCUGAAUCAUGUGUUCAAUUUGUCUUGCCUGACUCCAGUAUCCUAGGCUCUACUACAGUGUCCACUUGCUGCAGCUUGCCCAAUGGAAGAACUUGAAGUGUGGCUUCAUGUGGCAAAGCAGUGAACGAAUUCACGGUGAUCAGGAAGAAGUUCAAGUGCCCCUACUGCAGCUUCUCAGCCAUGCACCAGUGCAUCCUUAAGCGACACAUGCGCUCACAUACUGGAGAGCGGCCCUACCCUUGUGAGAUCUGUGGCAAGAAGUUCACUAGGAGAGAGCACAUGAAGCGACAUACUCUGGUCCACAGCAAGGACAAGAAGUACGUGUGCAAAGUGUGCAGCCGUGUGUUCAUGUCUGCAGCCAGCGUGGGCAUUAAGCACGGCUCUCGUCGCCAUGGGGUGUGUGCAGACUGUGCUGGCCGGGGUGUGGGCACGCCACUGGACCAUGGUGGAGGUGGCGAGGGCUCCCCUGAGGCGCUGUUUGCUGGUGAAGGGCCGUACCUGGAGGACCCGGAUGAUCCACGAGGGGAGGCUGAGGAGGAGCUGGUUGAGGAUGAGGAUGAGGACGUGGCCAAGUGGAAGGAUGACGUGGGCUUGGCCCAUGAGGAUGCACUGCUGGGGGAUGACAAGGAUGAUGAAGACUCUCCACAGGGGCCUCACAGCCCCUCUGGGGAGCCCGAUAAAGACUUUGCCUGGAUCUCCUAGGGGCUCUGCUCUAGUGGGCAGGGUGAGUGAUGGCUGAAUCGCUUUGUCCACCUGUGUGUGUGUCUUAGUGGAUCUUUACUUACCCAGGAGCAGGGCUAUGCUUACUCCUUGAAGCUCCUCCUAAAGGCCUCUCCUCCAUGCUAUACCCCUCUCCAUUACAGAAACUGGUCCUGUGAGCUAAAAAGUGGGUGUGACUCGUGACUGGGGAGCACUAGGACUGAACACGAAGUGAGGGGUACAGUGUGGGUUUAAGAAAAAGGAGAAUGCAUGCUCCCACCUGUCCAGGUAUUAAUGGAAUCCCCAGCAGGUGUCUAGAUGUAUGGGCAGGGCUGCACCAAGGCCUGGGCAUGCUUCCUCAGGGUAUCAAAGGAGCCCUUUGCUGUGAACCUGGCUAGGAAUGCAAGAUGACUCAGAGUAUAGGUCAGGGUCAGCACUGGAUAAGGUCAUGAGGGCAGUCUCCCAGACUGCAGGCCUGAGUAAGUGUUGAGUUUUGCAUAAACACAAACUGUUCAUCCACAGCACUGCUCAAUCUCCUUCUAUCCCUCCUCCCCAAGCAGUCAGGUUAUGGGCUAUGGCCCUAUGUCACUCUGCCCUCUUGGUUUCUGCUGCCCUACGGCAGCUGGUGGAAUCUAUUGGGCAAAAAGUCCUGCAACCCUCUUACCUCCAGGCUUUGGUGCUUAACACAAAAUGACUGCAGAUGCCUCUCUGGAAGCCCUAGGCUCCAGGUGCUAUCUCUGUGGGAAGCAGCUACCUAAUUGGCAGGCCAAGGAGGAGUGCUGUCUGUCCAAGAGGGGACCUGUGGCCAGAUACUUUCCACUUUAGGCUCACAGGGUUGAGUUGCAAAAGCCACAGCUCUUUGUUCUGUGUGCACUUUCUUGGAGAACCCCAUUGUGCACCCUGAGUUCUGCCUGUGCUUCGGCUGAUCCCAUAUUGGACCGGAUAGAGCUCAGCUCUUGCCUUUGUUGCUGCUAACACUGGAGGUGGGCGUUCCUAGCUGCAGUGUGCUGCUAUGCCUCUCUGCCUAGGAACCAAAUUUUAAAGAAGUCAGAGACAUUUUGAGGUGGUUACUACAGAUUACUGUUUCACAUUGUUUUCCUCACUGGACAGGACUGACAGGAUUACGGGGGUGGUUCCUUUAACUCUUCACCAAGUCCUCUAGCUGUAUUUCUGAAGGCUCUCACACUUCUUCUGUGAAGCGUGGGCUUCAUUUCCAUGGCCCUGAGGCCCAGAGAGACAGCUGUCCACUUACCGGCAGGGUAGUCAUAGACAUAGAUACUGCAGCCUGCCCUCCUCUUGAGGCUGUUUCUGACAAACUAUCAAGACAUUCCGUCCCUCAUCCACCUCAGCUCCCAAAGGCCCACUGCAGUGGUGGUUCAGUGAGCACUCUGAUGAGUGCUGAUGGGCUAACCCUACCCUGUACAAGGGCUCAUAAGGCUACUAAGCAUUAGGGCCAAUUAAAGAAUUUUAGUUUCCCUUUCUCAGACAAAUAGCUUUUAUACUUUUUUUUUUUUUUAAACUGACACAUCUGUUCUGUUGGUAAAUAAGGAGACACCCGGUAAAACUAAUUUAGGUUCCAAUAGUUGUGCAGAACUUGUGUUUCUUGGUGAUUCUCCUCAAGUACUAGCUGCCUAAGCUACAGAGGGCACUGGCCUGCUCCUACAGAAGGAAGCAAUCAUAGCUUCUAUUGUUUUAAACAAAACAACAGGAAGAACAGGACCAGGACUCUCCUAUACACAGUGUGUAGGAACAGCUGCCUGGGAAGCUGUGUGUCUGUCCCUCUGUUCACUACCCUCUUGCUCUGAGGCACGCUGGUUCUGGAGUAUAUUUCCACCUAUGAUGACAUAGCUAGACCUCCUUUUACCAACAAAACUCCAGGUUGAGACUCUCUAGUCUUGCCAGGGCCCACUGAGAGCUCCCAGACUCAGUACAUCUCUCCCUCGUUUAAAACACCUUUUUCUAAACACUUUCUUAUAAAAUGCAUUUGGAAACUAGACCUUUGCUACCACUGUCUCUGGGUUUUUGUAUCAGUCCCAACUUCUCAGGCUGUCUUGCCCAAGAUGCAGGACCCCUACCUAGCCCACCUCCCAAGGCACCUGUGCCUCCACUCAGGAUGUCUUGCUCUGACUGGCUCCCCUUCCAGACUGCCUUUUCUGGCCUUUCUGGGGUUCCCUGUUGGUGCCACAGGGCACUUCCUUAAAACCAGUACUGUACCAGAAAACUGAGGGUCCCAGUUCUGGUCCCACCACCUUCCAAGUGUUUGCCAUGUGGCAGGCUUUGUUCUGGCUCAGUUUCCAAUUAGAAAGUGGAAAUCUAGAGAUCCAGAUGAACAUAUCCAUCUCAGGAGGCACGGAGGGAAAAGAUGUAUGUAUUGAAGUUUUUUUUUUUUUUUAAAUGUGACUUUUUUUAAAUCAAUGUUCAAACUAAUAAAUAUUUUUUUAUGAAGAAGAAAAAUGUGUAGAUUACAUUUCACAUUUUGUAUUUUUUUUUAUGUGUGUGUGUCUGUAUUCUGGUGUUUGUAACACCAAAGUGGAAAAUACAGCCCAUGGCAUGGGUGCUGUGAAGUUGAGAUGAGAAAAUGAUAUGACCUUGCUGUGGGUCUCUGGAUCCUGACCAGUUUGGACUCUGAGUUUUGGGGACCAGGACACUGCGAGGACAGGGACCUGACUCAAAAGACACAGCUAUGCUUCCAAUUUUGCACAUCUUCCUUUAAAAACAGGCAACAAAACAAAACCUGAGAAAAUGCAAAACUGGAACUUUUUGCAAUAUUCUGAAAGAUAAUCUUCCUUUGGCUCAUUCUAUGACAUGUACAACUCUUAAGAAAGCCAUACUUAAUGGUGAUGUUAUUUUUUAGAUCCUAUUGUGAUUUGUAUGUGGCUCUUUUAGAAUCACUUGUAGUGAGGGUGCUGUGUGUGCUUUUCUUAAAUAUUUAUUUUUUUCAACAUGCUUUCAAUCUGUCAACACAAAGGAAAAAAAAGGCAGUGUUUAAAGAUUGUUGAUUUUUUUCCUGGGGAUAAUCUAUAUUAUACUGACUUUAUAUUAAUUAUUAUAAAACUGUGUUUGUACUGAAGAUGUGUUCAAUAUUUGUGGGAGGUUUGUCAUAAUCAGUUGGUGGGGUUCACUGCUCUGUUGUCCUGCUCUCUAACCACAGACAGGUAAGGAUUACCUUCUCUAGUGGUUCUUGCGAUUUGUCUGCCUAGGUGUGCUCCAGGUUGCCUGUGGGUUUCCUUUCUGUGAUGGGAUUUAGUGUAGACAUUCUUGCAAAACGGUCACUUUAAAUAAAAUGGGAAAUUGCUGCUCCA